CCCCCAGCACCGCCAAAACACAACACCUCACCCCCCCAGUGCUGUCUGCCCUGUGGAAACAAACCCUUCUUCCCCAGCACCACCCCGCUGAAACAGCUGUGGGCUAAAAGGAAGGUUGGGGGGAUAUCUUUAUUAAGA